rnacentral:rRNA from 1 species
CACGUAGGGUGCGAGCGUUGUCCGGAAUUAUUGGGCGUAAAGCGUGCGUAGGCGGCUGCGCAAGUCGGUUGUGAAACCCCGGGGCUCAACCCCGGAACUGCAUCCGAUACUGCGUGGCUAGAGGUAGGUAGGGGAGAUCGGAAUUCCUGGUGUAGCGGUGAAAUGCGCAGAUAUCAGGAAGAACACCCGUGGCGAAGGCGGCUCUCUGGGACGGUACUGACGCUGAGACGCGAAAGCGUGGGGAGCGAACAGG